AACUCAUAAGUCAAGGCCCCACUGUAUUGGUCAUUCAAGUAGGGCAAAGGAAAUACCUUUUAAAACUCAAGCAAGCUGGGUGUUUGUCUUGCAUCCUGUCAGAGGAAACAAAA
rfam:Myotis davidii contig161427, whole genome shotgun sequence.